ensembl:lncRNA
GUUUUGUUUUACAGCAUUUCAAUAUAUUUUAUGUGUAGUCAUGUGAGCAAUUUCCCAUACAUAGAGAAAGUCUGCUCAGAGUACAAACAAAUAGAGGAAUCCCCCUUUGGUUAAGACUGCAUAUUGCAUAUUUACAAAUCUCCAUAGCAAAGCAGCACACUGGAACUGUUAUGCCUAUUCAAAUCAACAAGCCUAAUGAAAAGUCUCUUUUAAAGUAAUUAACUACUACCACUACUACACACUAACUACCACUUAGUGGGCAUAUUCUUCAAUGGAUCUGUGGAGCAUAAUAUAUAGAAUACAAUAUUGUUGGGGAAAACAAACAAACAAACAAACAAAAAAAAAACAGUAACCAAUUGCUUAUAUGUUAUUUAAUAUGCCAUGCUAUGUAAUCCAUUCGGUCUUUGUUCCUGUACCCAUGUUCCAGAAACAUUACUGUGAUCUUGCCUGAAUUUGGUGUUGAUGCAGCUCCGGUGGCUUCCAGCAGCACCCAUGUGCCAGCUGCCAGGCCUUGCCUGCUUUCAAGGAGGCCUUUUGUUGCAAAAGAAAACUUUUAUAUGGACAGCAGCAACAACAAAGUAAAAACUUAGGUUCUGAUGACUCUACAGACUGAUGUUUCCAACAGAAUUUAUAGAUAACAAAUAGAAAUAUCCCAGCAGUAAAAUCACUGCAUUCUAUUACUGAUCCCGGAACAUCCUGCAGUGCCUUUUCUCAGCCUUUCCAAAAAGCGUGUACACGUGUCCUGUCGUAGAUGACAGAACACAUUUUGUCUUUCUUUAUUUCUCCCGGCCUACAAAACUGUCACUUUCAGACAUGGAUCUCUUGCUCCUGCAUUAUGUCAGCUUGUAAGGAAAGGCCAUGAAUCUAUUAAAAUGAUUACCAGUAAAGAUGUGCACCCAGCAGCCACCGACAGGACCGGCCCGGCCCCACGGCAGAACUGCUGGCACACUCUGACAAAGGCAGAAAAGUCAAUUCUCUGUUCUUUUUUCAAUGCCUGUGCAUUUACCAAAUUCCCCAAAUGUUUGCAUCACUUGAGGAAAAAAGCAUAUUACCUUGCAAAGAGUUAUUUAGUUAUUUGCACUGAGAACAGGGCAAGCGGUGACUUAAACUCACUUAAAGUCCUCCAUUUCACCAGAAUGCUGUACUCUUAAGCUGCACGUUCUGAAGCAGCUUUAUACGUCGAAUAGAACCGCUUUUAUUCCACUUCUUCCACCACAGGUGCAGCUUCCACAUCAGAGCAGUUUUUCCUCUAAUAUUUUAAAAAAUGUUUUAAAUGUGACUGUUUUUUUUCUUUCAUAACCAGCAAAUACAAUUUUCAAGACAAAAAAAGGUGAUGAUACCUCUGUGAGAUGCAUGUGAACAGAUUUUCUUUCGGUGUGUGGAGCAGGCCUUGUGCAGGCGAGCAGUGCUGAUGCGUACAGUUAGAAUUGCGAGGGAAGAGCAAGCCAGCACAACACACCACGGCUGCCCGCAUUCCUGCCCUGGAAGAACUCCAGACAGCCUCACAGAGGGGGAUGACUGACCUCACAACCUGUACUACGGUACAGCUUGGAGCCAGGUCCCGAGUUCCCAAACUCUGGUCACUGCCACCCUCUCCUUCCCAAUGGCCGUAUUGGAGGGCAGUCACAAAACUCUUGUGGUAACUUGUGGUCAGGGCAUGUCAGAUGCUGAGGCCCUGCUUCAGAACUCAGGCCACAGAGCAAUCCUCAAGCCAUACCACCCGGUUCUGAUCUCGCUGCUUCCAGUAAUGUGUCCACAUAUUUCUAAAGUGAGCAGACAGACACCGGAUAACCCUCUCCUGCUUCACUGUGCAUAAGCUGUUUUUUAAAGCUUUGCUUCAAAAUGCUGAAAAGUCAUUCUAAAAAUGAAGUUUUAAUUUAUUUUACAUAGAAAACAACUAGUAGGGCUUUCAAUUUUAUAAAUGAUGAAUGUGAUAAAUAAUUGGAGUUGAUCUUUCUAAAUACUAUCUUUUCGAUACUUUGUGACACUUUUUAUCUCGAGAAAAAUGAAUUUUGAUUCCGAAUAUACUGCCUUCUUUUCAUCUUCCCUAAAUUCCGUCUUGCUUUUCAAACAAAUGGAUCCUGGCUGUCCCAUUGCUGAUGCUGGGCACUGCGGGACGCUCCAGGAGCAGUGGUGCUGGGGCCACCCCCACCAUGCACAGAAGCCCUGAGGAGAUCACCACAGCAAAGAUCACAUUUUUGCAGGAUAAAUGUUUAGGGUAUCAAUCAAGGCUUUUUCUAAUUGUGAUUAAUUUGGUUAACACGUAUAAGGUAAAUAUACAUUUAAAGCUUAACAGCUACAUGUGAUAUCCAUCACAGUAGAAACUGUCCAUUUUACUGCACACGAGAGAAACAGGGGCUCAUUAUGUAGGCUUAGUGAUGGGAAAGAAGGUGAUGAACAAUUUUGGGUGAGAAAAGCCUACAGAACUAUCGCUAUGAUCUUUAAGAGUGCUCAGUAGCCACUUAUGGUCACACACACUUUAUAACUGUGUUAAUUGCACUUGAAUGAGUACAUGUGCAUUUUCUUUAUCAUCAGUAGAGAACGAGAUAGAAUCUAUCUGGAAAAAAAAAUCAAAUCUAGCUGUUUAACAAAAUGUGAAGCACGCCUCACUGAAACAGUACAAAAAGACAUGCUUCAAUUGAAGAGCCUUGAGGAAAAAGUCCAUGAGCAGCAGAGCAGAGCUGAUCUCUUGUUUCCUUGAGAGGUUUCCUUGAGAGCCAGACCUUCCAAUCAGCCUGCUUUCCAGUACCUGAUUCUCUGCUCUUCUGUUCUUGGACUACUGGCAGUGAGUCCACAGGAGCCAAACAAACCUGAGUCUCACAACUUGUGACACUGGACACGUCUGCAGUGUACUCACAAACUAAGCACUAUAAAUCCAAAAUAAAAAUAAACCAACAGCUUAAUCAGUUCCUGAAAACUUAACCUUCUGAAAAACGCUGCUCUGGAACAGUGUUACUCCACGCAGGACAGGAGCUAAAAAGCAUACAAGUAGCACAAUGGUGACCUUAGCUCUCCCAAGUCAGAUUUCAGUCUUGAACAAGCGAGUAAUGUGUUGCACGGAGGUUUUGCUAUGUCCUAUUUCCUAUGUGUAGCCAUUAUAUAGCUAUACAAUGUGAAAGAGCAGAAUUCCAUGGAAAAAUAUCAGUAAUUCAGCACAGUAUCAAUUUGCUUCAACAUACAGAUCCUGCAUAUCAUCACCUGAUAUGUCCCAAACCAACACCUUAUUUUUUUAACCCUGCACUGCUGCGUAACUUCAGCUGAAUUGCCACGCUUGUCUGAAGUGCUCACAUGGACGCAGUUUGAGUAGGUCAGUGCUGGAAGUGCCUCUGCCUGCAAGCUUAGUGUGACAGCUGCAUCCAGGUGUCAGUCUGUAACUUCAGCAAAUAAUUAACUGCUACCGAAUGCCACAGCCACCACAGGCACACUUACAGUGACCAAGAGCGUGCUCCUGAAUCCCGUGUGCUGCAGACAUCGGCCGCCUCUCACACUGUACAAUUUAUAGUGUCCUUCAUUCUGUCAUCAAUAUACGUGUGCUACAGUUGGAGCCACAAUAAAGCUCAACUUAUCCACUAACAACCUUUAAACACCUACUAGAAUUUCAUUUAAAAGUCACCUACAAGUACAAAUUAUGCUUAGAUCCUUUAGGCUGCUGGUAUCAAAAUGUAAGCAGUAGCGUAGACUUGAAUAGCCUUACCAAGCUCAGACUUACUCGUCACAGCAUGCUAUAACAUCUUUUAUCAGUACACAAAUUAGUCAUCUUCACAUUGAUUUAAAGAUACAGACCAUGCACACGCACAUGCACACGCACACACACUGGGCACGCACUGAAGAAACAGGCUGUCUGGAGAGGGAGAGACGUGCAACUGACAUAGUUUGUCAGCAAAGGAACUGUGGAGGGGACAACAGAAAUGUUCCUUCAGGUUGGACCAUUUUCUGCGGGUUUAAGCUGUCUCUCUUUGCUAGAAAUAUCUUUUCUUUUCUCCCAGUUCACUUAUGCCAAACAACUACUCUUUGAAACAUCACUUUGUCUUCUGCUAGGUUUUUAUGGAGAAAAAAACAGAGACCUUUUAUAAGCUACAACAGUGCUUAGAAAGCCAUUUCAUGUUUAAUUUGGGGGAUGCUAGUGUUACCUGUCCACAUUUUACUGCUGAAGGUGACGUUAAAGUUGAAAUAUUGUUGCAUAUUUAAGUGUGCAGUAGCCCGUUACUGAGUGCAGCAGUAGCUUAGUGCUAAGUUUAGUGUCCAUUGUAAGACCAGAACGCAUUGGUUUCCUUUGCAGAACAAAGUGACCACCAAAAGCGGGACUUUGUGGGCCAGUUGGAUAAAACAUAAGCUCAUCUCGCCCCCAAAACCCCGACUCUGGAACCACAGCCUUCUGAGAUUCAAUUUGCUAAAGCAGAACCGUUGCAGGAGGUGUCUGCCCUGACUCCUGCUGGGUUACAGCUGCGGCCCUCCAGAAGGGGCUUCACGCGACCCGAGCGCGGCCGUUCCCUGCUGACAGCGGCAGGUCGAGCGCUCCGCUGGGUAUCUGCAUCGCACAGCCCUCAGCACUGCGUUCC